GAUGAACGCUGGCGGCGUGCCUAAUACAUGCAAGUCGAGCGAACGGACGAGAAGCUUUCUUCUCUGAUGUUAGCGGCGGACGGGUGAGUAACACGUGGAUAACCUACCUAUAAGACUGGGAUAACUUCGGGAAACCGGAGCUAAUACCGGAUAAUAUUUUGAACCGCAUGGUUCAAAAGUGAAAGACGGUUUUGCUGUCACUUAUAGAUGGAUCCGCGCUGCAUUAGCUAGUUGGUAAGGUAACGGCUUACCAAGGCAACGAUGCAUAGCCGACCUGAGAGGGUGAUCGGCCACACUGGAACUGAGACACGGUCCAGACUCCUACGGGAGGCAGCAGUAGGGAAUCUUGCGCAAUGGGCGAAAGCCUGACGGAGCAACGCCGCGUGAGUGAUGAAGGUCUUCGGAUCGUAAAACUCUGUUAUUGGGGAAGAACAUAUGUGUAAGUAACUGUGCACAUAUUGACGGUACCUAAUCAGAAAGCCACGGCUAACUACGUG
rnacentral:rRNA from 1 species